rnacentral:rRNA from 1 species
UACGUAGGGCGCAAGCGUUGUCCGGAAUUAUUGGGCGUAAAGAGCUCGUAGGCGGUUUGUCGCGUCUGCCGUGAAAGUCCGGGGCUCAACUCCGGAUCUGCGGUGGGUACGGGCAGACUAGAGUGAUGUAGGGGAGACUGGAAUUCCUGGUGUAGCGGUGAAAUGCGCAGAUAUCAGGAAGAACACCCGUGGCAAGGCGGCUCUCUAGGUACGGUACUGACGCUGAGACGCGAAAGCGUGGGGAGCAAACAGG